GACGAACGCUGGCGGCGUGCCUAAUACAUGCAAGUCGAGCGAAGUUUUUCUGGUGCUUGCACUAGAAAAACUUAGCGGCGAACGGGUGAGUAACACGUAAAGAACCUGCCUCAUAGACUGGGACAACUAUUGGAAACGAUAGCUAAUACCGGAUAACAGUAUUUCUCGCAUGAGAGAUAUUUAAAAGUUGGUUAUGCUAACACUAUGAGAUGGCUUUGCGGUGCAUUAGCUAGUUGGUGGGGUAAAGGCCCACCAAGGCGACGAUGCAUAGCCGACCUGAGAGGGUGAUCGGCCACACUGGGACUGAGACACGGCCCAGACUCCUACGGGAGGCAGCAGUAGGGAAUCUUCCGCAAUGGGCGAAAGCCUGACGGAGCAACGCCGCGUGAGUGAAGAAGGAUUUCGGUUCGUAAAGCUCUGUUGUUAGGGAAGAAUGGAUAUGUAGUAACUAUACAUAUAAGAGACGGUACCUAACCAGAAAGCCACGGCUAACUACGUGCCAGCAGCCGCGGUAAUACGUAGGUGGCAGGCGUUGUCCGGAAUUAUUGGGCGUAAAGCGCGCGCAGGUGGUUUAAUAAGUCUGAUGUGAAAGCCCACGGCUCAACCGUGGAGGGUCAUUGGAAACUGUUAAACUUGAGUGCAGGAGAGAAAAGUGGAAUUCCUAGUGUAGCGGUGAAAUGCGUAGAGAUUAGGAGGAACACCAGUGGCGAAGGCGGCUUUUUGGCCUGUAACUGACACUGAGGCGCGAAAGCGUGGGGAGCAAACAGG
rnacentral:rRNA from 1 species